rnacentral:lncRNA from 1 species
GGAGACGUUCGACGAUAUUUCUUUCCAAGAACUAUAUGCUAAAAUAUUCAAAUAAUAAAAUUAUAGUAUGUAUAUACCAACCGAAAAUGAUGUUAAAACAAGUUAAGAUAAAAAAAGAAGAAGAAGAAGCUAAUGAUAAAAUGCGAGAGCUGACUUGUGUUUUAAGGAUGCUUCGCUUUUCACCCUUUUACUUAUAAAGUGUUCAGUUCACCCCUGAUUUCCGUGUAAACAAAGUAAUCGGCUUUUGAUAGCUUUAUUGACCGAAGUGUCGCUUAAGAUACGUACAUGCAUGAUUUAGUCUUUUCGCUGGAUCUCUGGAACUGCAUGGCUACACGCAUUAGGCU